AAAAUGUGAGAAAAGUAGUAAAAGCACGAAACAGAUUAAAAAGAAAGAGAGAGAAAUAAGAUUGGCUGAGAAAACGCGUAAAAGGGUCUCUCUAGUUCAGAUCUCAACUAGCCCACAAUAAACCUUCCCAUACCUCACACUGUGGCAGCCUCACAAAUCGAAUAUUCUUAGCUUAAAUUUUCGUAUUUAUUUUUGUUUUUCUUUUUCAUAGAAUCACUAUCUUUUUCUUUCUCCAACAGCCACUGCAUCCGAUGCUGUUUCCCUCACCAUCUUGACAAAAAUUUUGUGGUGCCUGCCUUCAAGCUAUCACCAAAAGUUUAAGAAAUGGAUCAACAAGUUGAGAGGCAGAAGCGGAGCAAGGAGAUGAAAAGGAAGAGUAGUAGGGUUAAGAAGACUAACAAGAUAGUGACGUGUUGUCGAUGCCCCUGUCGUGCAGCAUCGUGCAUGUUCCGAGGUAUUGGGAGGUGCGUGUUUGUCUCAUGUUACCCUGUUGUGCGGUGCUUGGGUUUGGAUGAACACAGACACCGCCACCAUCAUCACCAUGGCAAGCACUUUGAUUGGUGACACAAACCAGAAAGGUUAUAGGAAUCAAUGCAUACUUUAUUCAUGUUUUUCGGGAUUUAAGAUUUAGGAAAGGUUGAGAGGGAUGAAUAAAUGGUCCUCACUGCUCACUUUUGUUCUUUAUCUUUCUUCUAUAGUAGAUUAUUAGCUUUACACGAUUCUUUUCAUGAUAGAUGAACAAUUCGAAAUUUUGAAAGGGUUGGUUUAA